rnacentral:lncRNA from 10 species
AUAUGCCCAGCCUGGCAGCUACCUGGCAGCUCUCCUCCAGCCAAGACAAUGGAAGAGGUGGUUCAGGUAGAGCCCAGCACAAGAGUGUCAUAUCUUGGAGAACACCAUCACACUGAAGCAUGCAGUCACUAUGUGAAGGUGCACAGAAGAAUUGGCACAGAGAUUUUGAGCCUCAUGGCCUUCUCCUACGUACACACAUUUGGGAGAGCUGGCACACAUCACACACACUGGCCCUGGCUGCACCGUCUUUACCACACUCCAGGCAUGCCUUAGGGUUGCGCUUCUCUCCCAUCCAAUUCCAGCUCCUACUCAACAAUGGACCCCAGCGGCGCGCAAAAUCCUUAUGAUUGGUUUGCUGGCUGCCUCGGGAGACCCUGUUGCCAGGAUACUUGGCGUUCCCGACCCGACCCCCGUUCCCCAUUGGCUGUCAGGGCAAAAGCCGCCAUCUAAUGAGGAGCGAGGUGCGGUGCCCCGAAGCGCUCGCUUCCCGCGGUGCGAUCUAGUCCUGCAGUAGGCGGCUGCUCUCCUUCCCUGAACUCCCACUGGCUUAGUGGGAUCAGGGUUGUAUCCCUCUGGCCAUUACCAGUCUCUUUUAGUGGCCCUGGCUGCGAUCUCUGCUCACUGCAAGCUCCGCCUCCCAGGUUCAUGCCAUUCUCCUGCCUUUGAGGGCUUAGUAAUUUUAAACUAUUCAAAAGAAAUGCAUUCUUGUUUUUUUUUGGUUUUCUUCUUUCUUUUACAAUAUUCCUUCCCUUCAAGCCUCAUCCUGACUCUAUCCCAAGUUCUAUGAUGUGUUCUUUUUUUUUUUUUGAGACAGUCUCACUCUGUCAGCCCAGCUA